GAUGAACGCUGGCGGCGUGCCUAAUACAUGCAAGUCGAGCGAACGGACGAGAAGCUUGCUCCUCUGAUGUUAGCGGCGGACGGGUGAGUAACACGUGGAUAACCUACCUAUAAGACUGGGAUAACUUCGGGAAACCGGAGCUAAUACCGGAUAAUAUAUUGAACCGCAUGGUUCAAAAGUGAAAGACGGUCUUGCUGUCACUUAUAGAUGGAUCCGCGCUGCAUUAGCUAGUUGGUAAGGUAACGGCUUACCAAGGCAACGAUGCAUAGCCGACCUGAGGGGUGGUCCGCCCACCCUGGACUUAAGCACCGUCCAGGCUCCCUCGGGAGGCCACAGGAGGGAAUCUUUCCGCAUUGGGGGAAACCCUGCCGGAGCACCGCCGCGUGGGUGAUGAAGGCCUUCGAUUCGUAAACCCCUGUAUUUGGGAAAAAACAUAUUUGUAAGUACCAGUGCCCUUCUGACCGGUACCUAACCAGAAGGCCCCGGUAACUUCCGU
rnacentral:rRNA from 1 species